rnacentral:rRNA from 1 species
AUUGAACGCUGGCGGCAUGCCUUACACAUGCAAGUCGAACGGUAACACGUCUUCGUAUGCUGUCGAGUGUUGGCCGGGGGCGUAAUACUUCGGAACGUGCCCGCUCCUUGUGGGUAACGAAUCACAACCUUUGCUAAUACCUCAUAAGAUCUACUGUUUUAAGCCGCGUACCGCAAGGCCUUGCGCGAACCUUGCGGCCGCUGGCAGAUUAGUUAGUUGGUGGGAUAAUAGCUUAUCAAGCCGACGAUCUGUAGCUGGUCUGAGAGGACGACCCGCCACACUGGGACUGAGACACGGCCCAGACUCCUACGGGAGGCAGCAGUGGGGAAUUUUGGACAAAGGGCGAAAGCCUGAUCCAGCAAUGCCGCGUGAAGGAUGAAGGUCUUCGGGUUGUAAACUGCUGUUGUACGGAAAGAAAAGACGCGGGUUAAUACCUGGGGUCCAUGACGGUACCGAAAGAAUAAGCACCGGCUAACUACGUG